UACGUAGGGUGCGAGCGUUGCCCGGAUUUAUUGGGCGUAAAGGGCGCGUAGGCGGCCACGCACGUCCGUUGUGAAAUCGCCCGGCUCAACUGGGCGGGUCAGCGGAUACGGUGUGGCUAGAGCAAGCUAGGGGGCAAUGGAAUUCCCGGUGUAGUGGUGGAAUGCGUAGAUAUCGGGAGGAACACCAGUGGCGAAGGCGGUUGCCUGGAGCUUUGCUGACGCUGAUGCGCGAAAGCGUG
rnacentral:rRNA from 1 species